rnacentral:lncRNA from 1 species
AGCACACAUGGAGAAACAGAGCAUCACAAACACUUCUUCAACAUUUCCUUGGAUUCGAGGUUCUUACAUCGGAAGGGGAUGUUUCGGAACAGUAAGCAAAGCCGUGAGCAAAAUCGACGGUAGAGUGUUCGCCGUGAAGUCGGUAGACCUCGCCGCGUGUCUUCCUUCUCAAUCCGAGUCCCUCGAUAACGAAAUCGCAAUCCUCCGCUCUCUCAAGCCCCACCCGCACAUCGUGACGUUCCUCGGAGACGACGUGUCUAAAGAAGGGACGACGUCGUUUCGGAACCUCCACUUGGAGUAUUUACACGAAGGUGACGUGGCUAACGGUGGAACCAUCGUUAACGAAACGCUCCUCCGCCGUUACGUUUGGUGCCUCGUCUCCGCUCUCCGUCACGUUCACUCUAACGGAAUCGUCCACUGCGACGUGAAAGCGAAGAACGUCCUCGUCGCUGACGGCGGAAGGUCCGUUAAGCUGGCGGACUUCGGAUCGGCGGUCGAGUUGGAGAAUCCGACGGUUGCGAUCGCGCCGCGUGGCAGCCCGCUCUGGAUGGCUCCGGAGGUUGUCAGGAGAAAUUAUCAAGGACCGGAGAGUGACGUGUGGUCUCUCUUAAUUUAUAACAAUUUUGUAGUUCUAAGCUAAAAUAAAGAAAAAGUUCUAUGUAUAUGAUUGGCUAUUACGUGUGUCAUUUAAGAAUAGUACUUGAUUGGUAGAUUACCACCGAAUAUUCCAUGUUUGAAGGCGUAUUAACUCGGGUCAACAAAACAAAAAAAUAAAACUAACAACGCACAACCAACAACAAAAGUCAACAGAAAACAAACAUCCGAAAAUCAAUCGACACGUUUAGUUAGUUUGCCGUUCCCACGAUUCGUCGGAGAGAUCUCAUCACUUGUCGACCCUAACCAAAUGGCCUCAGCAGUAAAUCAAAACAACCAGUUUAUUUGUUGAAUAUUUUUAUAAAGUUAAAAAGAAGUGUUAAAAAUGAGAGCCGCUGACUUAUCCAUUUUACCAUAUUUGGGGAAACGAAUCAACGGACCCGAUCAGACGGUAGCAACUUGUUUCUUGUGUUGAUAAGGAUAAUAUGGAAAAUACUCGGUUUCUUUCGGAACAUCCCGAGAACUUCUCCAAGUGUGUCGUAUUGACGUCAUCAGACCGUUUUUCUGAUUAUCCAUCCAUAUGUCUGAUUUAAAAUAUAAUUAAACAUGUGGUAACGUUAUUAUUUAAUUUUUGAAUGUUAUUUUUUAUAACUUUUAAAUUUAUGUCAAACCUUUGUUAUUGGUUACAUAAUUUAUAAACGAAUUAAGGUUAUGUGUUAUUCAUUCAUAGAUAUUUACUAAUAUAUUUUAUUACACAAUAAAAUUGUGUGGAUUUGUAAAAAUCUAAAACUCAAGUCCAAAACCAAUUCUCCAAAUUUAUAAAUUAUCAUUAAAAUCUAAAUUACACCCUUUAAUGUUAAUUUAGCGUUACUGAAUCCCAAGUGGGAUAUUUUUUUUGUAAAUGGCUUCACGAUUUGAAAAUUAAUAAAGACAAAGUUGAAAAGAAACGUCCACGUCAGAAAUUAUAAAAAUGCCAACUUUAUUUCUCGUUCACAUUUGGCACUUCAACACAGGUAUAAAUACCGUCGUGUGUCCUCGAGAAUUUACACACGAAAGUUAGUUAGCAAACCAAGCAGCACACAUGGAGAAACAGAGCAUCACAAACACUUCUUCAACAUUUCCUUGGAUUCGAGGUUCUUACAUCGGAAGGGGAUGUUUCGGAACAGUAAGCAAAGCCGUGAGCAAAAUCGACGGUAGAGUGUUCGCCGUGAAGUCGGUAGACCUCGCCGCGUGUCUUCCUUCUCAAUCCGAGUCCCUCGAUAACGAAAUCGCAAUCCUCCGCUCUCUCAAGCCCCACCCGCACAUCGUGACGUUCCUCGGAGACGACGUGUCUAAAGAAGGGACGACGUCGUUUCGGAACCUCCACUUGGAGUAUUUACACGAAGGUGACGUGGCUAACGGUGGAACCAUCGUUAACGAAACGCUCCUCCGCCGUUACGUUUGGUGCCUCGUCUCCGCUCUCCGUCACGUUCACUCUAACGGAAUCGUCCACUGCGACGUGAAAGCGAAGAACGUCCUCGUCGCUGACGGCGGAAGGUCCGUUAAGCUGGCGGACUUCGGAUCGGCGGUCGAGUUGGAGAAUCCGACGGUUGCGAUCGCGCCGCGUGGCAGCCCGCUCUGGAUGGCUCCGGAGGUUGUCAGGAGAAAUUAUCAAGGACCGGAGA